rnacentral:lncRNA from 1 species
GGGCGUGGAGUUGCGAGCGGGGUCUGGCCUCGGCCGGGAGCGAAGGUAGAUCGGCGGGGCCGCGAGCGGAGGGAGGGAGGCCCGCGGCGGCGCGGCGGCGGCGGCGAAGGCCAGCUUCCGCGGAGUUUGUGCCCAGGCUUCCCGGCCGGGUUCUGGCCGCCUCUCGCGCACAAAUGGGGCUAGGGGACUGACUGGGUCGGCCUGGCGAAGGACAGCUAGCCUGAGAGGGAAAAUAGCCACCAGUCCAACUCGGGUCGCCCCCACUAUUUCUUCGGUGAGGGGGGUAACGUUAAGGGGACACUAGUGGGUAGGGACUUACACUGGUAAGGGAAGGGAUG